rnacentral:lncRNA from 1 species
AUUGUCACAAAUUGAGUCCCAUCUUAGUAAGAAAUAUACAAUCUAAGGUCAAAAAUAUUUAACUGACUUUAUUGCUAAAUUAGAAAGAGGUAUCAGCUAGCCCAUGUAUAAUUUACUGUAAACCCACUCAAACUUGAAAUUCAAGCCCAUAGGUUGCAUAUAAAUAUCAAGGGAGACACCAACCUUAAUAGGUUUGGUAUGUAUCUUCCAAAAUUAUGUAGCUUGAGUGAUGCGAUGAAAAUCAAUCAGAAAAAUUAGGACUAGCUUGCUCAAUGAUCCAAAAAGAUUCGGUUGGAUCUGGAUUUGUAUAAUGUAGACUAUUUUUUAUGUGAAUAUGGAAGAAGUCAGAAUUUUUUACAGAUUUAACAUAUAUAAUAUUAUAGACCUAAAAUCAAUUUGAGACAGAAAUAGCUCAAGCUAGAACAAUCUGACCUCAUAGCAGUCUUAUGAUUAGAUUAGAUGGUUAAGCAUAGGUGGUAAAGCUCGCAGUCAC